CGGAGACACAGCUUCCUCUGUAGGGAGGACCAAGAGUGCCCGAGCAAACCCUCCAAGAAAAACAAUAAAGACAAUAAAGAAAACAACCACAGCAACUUGUGAAGGCCUCAAUGACCCCGUCAGCUGGCGACCGGGAACACGAGAGCUCGCUCCAAGACAAAGAACAUCAUUCAAAAGCAUUUUUUUCACCACUGACCCUUACAACAACAACAACAACCAGAAUUCUUCAUGAGACAGUUGAGUUUGGGUCUUCUUUUUGCUCGCGUGAUUCACUUCAUCAGCGAGUUCGCGGAGUCUGACCUAGACGCGGCGGAGUCGACCUUACGUGACCUCUAUCGACUCAUUCGCUUCAAGCCAAUCCAGGCUGAGCUUCAACGUCCCUCCGCAUUUAAACCUAAGCCCAAUGAAAACACUGAACAAAGUAUCCACCCCCGGGUUCAAAGGCACGACUGAUCUCACAGACGCGCUGGUCGGAGCCGCGGAGAACGUUUUCCAUUUCUGUACCUGGGCCGACGGGUCGCAGGGUCCACUCGCUGAAGAGGUCCUGAGCCUGAGAGGGCCCCGGUUUUAAUCUUCCCGAGUUGGUUUUCACAUCGGCCUUCUUGUUGCUGUCCAC